GGGAAUAUUGGACAAUGGGCGAAAGCCUGAUCCAGCAACGCCGCGUGAGGGAUGACGGCCUUCGGGUUGUAAACCUCUUUCAGCACAGACGAAGCGCAAGUGACGGUAUGUGCAGAAGAAGCACCGGCCAACUACGUGCCAGCAGCCGCGGUAAUACGUAGGGUGCGAGCGUUGUCCGGAAUUAUUGGGCGUAAAGGGCUCGUAGGCGGUUUGUUGCGUCAGGAGUGAAAACUCGGGGCUUAACCCCGAGCCUGCUUCUGAUACGGGCAGACUUGAGGUAUGCAGGGGAGAACGGAAUUCCUGGUGUAGCGGUGAAAUGCGCAGAUAUCAGGAGGAACACCGGUGGCGAAGGCGGUUCUCAGGGCAUUACCUGACGCUGAGGAGCGAAAGUGUGGGGAGCGAAC
rnacentral:rRNA from 1 species